rnacentral:RNase_P_RNA from 1 species
GCAGUAGGCUGUUCCAUCGCUUCGUUUCAAUUUAUUUGUGAUGAAGAGGAAAGUCCGGGCAACAAAGAGCACCAAACUCUCGAAAGGAGAGAUAUUCGCGAGGGUAUAGUAACAGAGAAGAAAAUAACCGCUUCGAUUCGUCGGAGUAAGGGUGAGAAAGUGAGGUAAGAGCUCACAGCUUCUAAUAGCAAUAUUGGAUGUCGUCUGUCUUUUGGGUUGCAAGACCACGUAUACCGGCAAUUAAGGACUGCUCGUUCAAUGUCGGGGGGUAGGUUGCAUAGAUAAAUGAUGGAAUUCCGUUCGCGGAAACAGGACCCGGCUUACAGGUCUACUGCUUUU